AGAACUGGAUUCAUGUUUUGGUAAAAACAUAAAUCUAUACUACACCAGAUAUACUUUAACAUUAAAGGAAAGUAACUUCAUUGGUUCCUCUGCUGACUUUAUGCAGCCCCUGGGCCAGUGCCUCUAAAAUACAGAGUAAUCCAAGCUUCAAAUACAAUCUUCAACUCCCUCCUUAAAGUUGAACAAAUAUUCCAGCCCCUUUUUCCCGCAAUAUCUACAUUUAAAACCCUGAAAAAAAUGGCACUGAUAAACUCUUAUGUUCUCUCCAUCUUUCAUUGUAUUGGCGGUGUAACAGUCAGGCCUCAUGUGGAGGUAAAGCACAGCAAUGGGCCUCACUUCACACAAACAACACCGACUUCAAAUGAGUUGGGGUCAAUUCUUCUUCCUAUCAAAGAGCUAAGCUGGAAAACAUUCUUGCUUUUUGGGGAAACAACUCAAUUAAUUGAAAUCAAAGAGAAUUAACCACAAACCAGCUGCAGCGCACACAGUCAAUAGCCAUUACUGCAUCUCCACCAAUCUACUGCAUGCCUGCUCCACUAACACCAGGUCCAAUCAUCACCACUGACUUCAAAAGUGACCCCCCCCCCC